rnacentral:rRNA from 1 species
UGCGGAGGAUGCGAGCGUUAUCCGGAUUUAUUGGGUUUAAAGGGCGCGUAGGCGGGCUUUUAAGUCAGCGGUAAAAAUUCGGGGCUCAACCCCGUCCGGCCGUUGAAACUGGGGGUCUUGAGUGGGCGAGAAGAAGGCGGAAUGCGUGGUGUAGCGGUGAAAUGCAUAGAUAUCACGCAGAACCCCGAUUGCGAAGGCAGCCUUCCGGCGCCCUACUGACGCUGAGGCACGAAAGUGCGGGGAUCGAACAGG